UAUCUCUGCAUGUUGAUGUUGAGUAUGAUCAGAAGACUAGUAUUCAUUAUUACACUUCAAACCUAUGCCUCCUAGCUAUAUUAAGUAUUGAUUCAAAACAAAAAUUCAAAAAACAAAUGUUCACAAAUCUCUCUAUCUCUCUCUCUCUUCAUCCCCUUCACACCAAACUUCGCCGGAGAUUUUGCACCGCCAAAACAGUUGACAUUUCCACAAUUCUUUAACAAUCCCUCUCUCUCUCUCUCUCUCUCUCUCUCUCUCUCUUCAUCCCAUCCAAACCACCUUCACCGGAGAUUUCCACCGCCAAAAAAAUCAGCAAAUUAUCUUCCUCCACACCAACUUCACCGGAGAUUUCCACCACCAUCGGAGUUUCAAAUGCGUCGGUCUUCUUAGCAAAAGGUAACACCUUUGUUUUUCUGUAGAAAUCUGUGUUUUUUUGGUUGUUUACAUUUUGAAACAAAAAUGUAGGGUUUUAUUGUAUACUUCUCCAUUAUUGAGAUGCAUGUGGUUGUUUGUCUAAUAUUGCAAAAAAA